AAUUUUUUAGUAAUUUAGCUGGGGUAGCUGUUUUAAUUAAACUAAGGUGGUUAAGAGACUCUUUGAGAGGUUAAAGGUCCUUUAUAUAAGGAUAUGUAGAGUCAGUUACUUUAGGGAUAACAGCGUGAUAGUUUUGGUGAGAUCUUAUCUAUAGGGCUGAUUGCGACCUCGAUGUUGAAUUAUAAGUUCUUUGCAGUGCAGCAGCUGUGAGAGAAGGUUUGUUCAACCUUUAAAUUUUUACAUGAUCUGA
rnacentral:rRNA from 1 species